rnacentral:rRNA from 1 species
AGUUUGAUCAUGGCUCAGGAUGAACGCUGGCGGCGUGCCUAAUACAUGCAAGUCGAGCGAACAGACGAGGAGCUUGCUCCUUUGACGUUAGCGGCGGACGGGUGAGUAACACGUGGGUAACCUACCUAUAAGACUGGGAUAACUUCGGGAAACCGGAGCUAAUACCGGAUGAUAUUUCGAACUGCAUGGUUCGAUAGUGAAAGAUGGCUUUGCUAUCACUUAUAGAUGGACCUGCGCCGUAUUAGCUAGUUGGUAAGGUAACGGCUUACCAAGGCAACGAUACGUAGCCGACCUGAGAGGGUGAUCGGCCACACUGGAACUGAGACACGGUCCAGACUCCUACGGGAGGCAGCAGUAGGGAAUCUUCCGCAAUGGGCGAAAGCCUGACGGAGCAACGCCGCGUGAGUGAUGAAGGUCUUCGGAUCGUAAAACUCUGUUAUUAGGGAAGAACAAACGUGUAAGUAACUGUGCACGUCUUGACGGUACCUAAUCAGAAAGCCACGGCUAACUACGUG